UAACAGAGGUCUCAAGCGUUGUUCGGAUUCAUUGGGCGUAAAGGGUGCGUAGGCGGCGCGGUAAGUCGGGUGUGAAUUUCGAGGCUUAACUUCGAAACUGCAUUCGAUACUGCCGUGCUUGAGGACUGGAGAGGAGACUGGAAUUUACGGUGUAGCGGUGGAAAUGCGUAGAUAUCGUAAGGAAGACCAGUGGCGAAGGCGGUCUCUGGGCCGAUACUGACGCUGAGGCAGCGAAAGCGUGGGGAGCGAACAGG
rnacentral:rRNA from 1 species